CCUAUAUGACAUAGAACAACCAAAAGUUUUAAAUUCACGAUUUAAUAAUAAUUUAAUGCGAUUAAAAAUGUUUAUGUAGUUUUCUAAGAUGUUUAUUUAUGUAAAUGCUGUGUGUGUAUGCUGCGGGUGCUGAACGUUACUGCCCCUUUAAAUCCGUUGGAGUGACGUGAGUUACCAUGGAAACGAUGCUACUAGGAACAACAGAAAGCGACAAAGCUCCGUGUCUCUUAUGGUUUUCUUCACUUUUUCAGAAGUGACAAAAUAACCCCAUAAUAGAAAAUAAGCUCAAGAUUUCUGCAUUUUCGAAUGGAGCUGCAGUGCUGACAGAGAGAUGUUGUAAACUCAGAUUUGUCUAUGCUGAUGGCCAUGAAGCAGAGUUCAAGCAAACCUGUCAGAAAACAUCUCUAAGGGGCUAUGUAUGAACCAUAUGGUUAGAUACCCAUACAAGUUACAGAAGCUCUAGUAUGGAUCCAGCCUCACUUGUAAAGACUUCAGAUGACGCCUACACUCUCAGAGACUUCAGAUGAUGGCAACUAGAUGGACAUACAAGACUGCCAAACAUUAUAUAUAUAUUGCACUCACUGCCUCAAAGCAUAAGUUUGCAGAUUUUCAACCCACGUUAUAUUUUUACAAUAAAUUGGGGUAUUUGAAUGGACAAUGUUAACGCUUUAACUUAAAUUCCCAAUUAGUUCUUGACAAUACUCUGCCAGAUGACAGAUUACAUAUAUUACAGACAUUGUAACAAUACAAAGUGGGUUGGAAAUCUGUAAACUUCCUCUAUAAUCAUAAUUGUCUGUUUAACUGAGCAUGACUUAAUACAAGGCAUGUGUUUCAUCUUAGAGCUAUAUGAUUGCUGUAUUAACAUCACUUCGUUACUUAAUGAGAUUUAUGCUUAUCUCUAGUUUCACAGACAAGGCUUAAGCCCAUAGUCCUAGAUGUUUGAGCUGUCUCAAUUGAAAAGAACUUUCAAUGUGAGAUUUUAAAAUAAGCCAGUGCCAGUGAUUUGUUUUAAGAUAGACACCAGUAACAAAUUUUUUCUAAGGCAUGUUUAUUAAAGAUGCUUAAACAUCUUAUUUUAACUAAGGCAUAGUCUAGCUUUAGCUAAGCCGUGUCUGUGAAACCAGGCCUCUAUUCUUAAUGCAUUAAGAUAUGUAAGUUGAAUUAAAAGAUAAAAUUCUGUUUACACUUUAUUGGUAAAACAUACCAAGCAGAUUAGCCCAGAAAAUAAACCAAAUGCGUUAAAUUACAGUUUGCUUGACCAUUGUAUGAAUUUAAUAAUUAUUAAAAUCCUUAUACUUGUUUGACAAAUUAAUAUAUCAUUAUUGAGAACUGAGAUUUGGCAUUUUGUUUAGUUUUGUUUUGAGUAAACGUUUCCAGUGUUUGUAUAGGCUACUAUUAGUUUAACUUGAUAUGUCUGUUAUGAAGUCUUUGACUAACGUUUUUUUUUACAUUAUUUCAUUGUUCAUAAUGUUUACAAUUAUAUGUUGUGUCAGUUAGACGUUUUGUCAUAUUAGGUUGCAUUAAAUUAAAUCCUUGUAGUUCUUAACAUAAGAUAUUUUCUCCAGUGAUUUGUCAGUGUAGCUAACGGGUCCUCAGAAGAAUUGUGUUAAACAUGAGUUCAAAGCCUACUGGAAAUCUACAUUUUUCACUAAAAUAAUGGAAGACAGAUUUUGCGGAACCUACAGUUCAAGUCUACCUCCAGAAGGAUUGAGAGCUCACAGGUUUGAUGAUUAACGCGUUCUUUCUGUUAACGCCCAACGCGUUUCGGCACGUGCAACAUGAGAGGUAUUAAUAACGUUUUUUUCACGUUGUGAAAAGGUUGUGAUAACGUUAUUUUCCGACGUAUUUAAUACGACCAAAUGUCGGGUUUUUUGAACGUU